rnacentral:rRNA from 1 species
AUUGAACGCUGGCGGCAUGCUUUACACAUGCAAGUCGGACGGCAGCACAGAGAAGCUUGCUUCUUGGGUGGCGAGUGGCGAACGGGUGAGUAAUAUAUCGGAACGUACCGAGUAAUGGGGGAUAACUAAUCGAAAGAUUAGCUAAUACCGCAUAUUCUCUGAGGAGGAAAGCAGGGGACCUUCGGGCCUUGCGUUAUUCGAGCGGCCGAUAUCUGAUUAGCUAGUUGGUGGGGUAAAGGCCUACCAAGGCGACGAUCAGUAGCGGGUCUGAGAGGAUGAUCCGCCACACUGGGACUGAGACACGGCCCAGACUCCUACGGGAGGCAGCAGUGGGGAAUUUUGGACAAUGGGCGCAAGCCUGAUCCAGCCAUGCCGCGUGUCUGAAGAAGGCCUUCGGGUUGUAAAGGACUUUUGUCAGGGAAGAAUAGGCUGUUGCUAAUAUCAAUAGCUGAUGACGGUACCUGAAGAAUAAGCACCGGCUAACUACGUG